rnacentral:rRNA from 1 species
GACGAACGCUGGCGGCGUGCCUAAUACAUGCAAGUAGAACGCAGUUGCGAACGGGUGAGUAACGCGUAGGUAACUGCCUCAUAGCGGGGGAUAACUAUUGGAAACGAUAGCUAAUACCGCAUACUGUGAGAUGGACGUGCGUUGUAUUAGCUAGGUGGUGAGGUAAAGGCUCACCAAGGCGACGAUACAUAGCCGACCUGAGAGGGGUGACCGGCCAACCUGGACUGCGAACAGGACCAGACUUCUACGGGAGGCAGCAGUAGGGAAUCUUCGGAAAUUGACGGAAGGCUUACCGAGCCACGCCGCGGUAGAGAAGAAGGUUUUCGGAUCGUAAAGCUACUUUGUUAGAGAAGCGGUAACCACCCAGAAAGGGACGGCUAACUACGUGCCAGCAGCCGCGGUAAUAC